rnacentral:rRNA from 1 species
UACGUAGGGUGCAAGCGUUAAUCGGAAUUACUGGGCGUAAAGCGUGCGCAGGCGGUUGUGCAAGACCGAUGUGAAAUCCCCGGGCUUAACCUGGGAAUGGCAUUGGUGACUGCACGGCUAGAGUGUGUCAGAGGGGGGUAGAAUUCCACGUGUAGCAGUGAAAUGCGUAGAGAUGUGGAGGAAUACCGAUGGCGAAGGCAGCCCCCUGGGAUAACGACUGACGCUCAUGCACGAAAGCGUGGGGAGCAAACAGG